rnacentral:rRNA from 1 species
AUUGAACGCUGGCGGCAGGCCUAACACAUGCCAGUCGAACGGUAACAGGGAUCAGCUUGCUGAUUCGCUGACGAGGGGCGGACGGGUGAGCGAUGUCUGGGCAACUGCCUGAUGGAGGGGGAUAACUACUGGAAACGGUAGCUAAUACCGCGUAGCGUCGCAAGACCAAAGAGGGGGACCUUCGGGCCUCUCGCCAUCGUAUGUGCCCAGAUGGGAUUAGCUAGUAGGUGGGGUAACGGCUCACCUAGGCGACGAUCCCUAGCUGGUCUGAGAGGAUGACCAGCCACACUGGAACUGAGACACGGUCCAGACUCCUACGGGAGGCAGCAGUGGGGAAUAUUGCACAAUGGGCGCAAGCCUGAUGCAGCCAUGCCGCGUGUAUGAAGAAGGCCUUCGGGUUGUAAAGUACUUUCAGCGGGGAGGAAGGGAGUUAAGUUAAUACCUUUGCUCAUUGACGUUACCCGCAGAAGAAGCACCGGCUAACUCCGUG